rnacentral:rRNA from 1 species
AAACGUGUAGCAAUACGUGUUAUUCGAGCGGCGUAAGGGGCAGUAAUACCUGGGAACGUACCCUGAGGUCGGGGGUAGCUGCUGGAAACGGCGAGUAAUACCCGAUGAUCUCGAGAGAGCAAAGGCUUGCCGCCUUCGGAGCGGCCCAGGCGAUAUUAGCUAGUUGGUGGGGUAAUGGCCUACCAAGGCAAAGAUGUCUAGCGGGUGUGAGAGCACGACCCGCGCCACUGGCACUGAGACACUGGCCAGACACCUACGGGUGGCUGCAGUCGAGAAUCUUCGGCAAUGAGCGCAAGCUUGACCGAGCGACGCCGCGUGCGGGAUGAAGGCCUUCGGGUUGUAAACCGCUUUGGUCCGAGAGAAAGGGUAAAACUUGAUCGAUCGGAGAAACAAGGACGGGCUAAGUUCGUGCCAGCAGCCGCGGUAAGACGAACCGUCCAAACGUUAUUCGGAAUCACUGGGCUUAAAGGGCGCGUAGGCGGCCGAGCGGGUCGCGGGUGAAAUCCUCCAGCUUAACUGGAGAACUGCCCUCGAUACCACUGCGGCUCGAGGAAGGAAGGGGCAAUCGGAACUGUCGGUGGAGCGGUGAAAUGCGUUGAUAUCGACAGGAACG